AUGGGUGAACUGAAGGGAGGCACACAUUCACCAGCGUAAAAAUCAGAAGUCAGGACCGCUGGCGAUGGCCUGGGGUGCCGUAGAUGACUGCAGCCUCUUCCACGUGUGGCCAAGCUCCACAUCCUGCUUCAGGCGCCCUCCUUCCCCGAGACCUCCCCCGAACUCUCCAACAUGGCGGAGGCCACAGCGCCCGCUACAACUUCUUGGAGCCAAGAUACUGGAUGAUCAUCAGCGCUUCACAUUGGCUUCAACUGAGCAGGAAACGCAGAAAGAAAAGGGAGCUGAGAAUAUUUUCUAUCUCUUAAGCUGGGAGCAAACUUUCAGACCUGUGAUAUCAUCAGUACAGGGAAUUUCAUGUAUGGAAAUUCCUUCUAACAAUAUGGCUUUUCUACAGUUUAGAGACUGAUACUAUUCCCUGAGGAAGAGAGAGAUUAGUUUGUUGGCACAGGGUCCAGUUCCUGAUAUAUAAGAAUUGAAGCUUGAACACAUCUUUCUAACUCUGGAUCCAUCAAUCUACUGCAUCACAACAUCAUGUUGUUUGUAUGUUUAUGUAUGUGUAGGGGGGAGUGCUAUGAGACAGACAGAGAGAGAAACAAAGAAUAGGAAAGGUAAAAAGGGAGAGAUUAAGAAGAAGGAAUAGUUGAUGAUAUAACUUUGCUAUAAUAUCCUUUAUCUAUCCUGUAUUUGCAUAUUGAAUAUUUAUACACAAACAUAUAUAUAUUAUAGCCACACACAUAUAUGAAGUGAAAGAGAGUGAUAAACAGAAAAUAGGAGUCAAAAAGAGCUGGGUUCAAUUGUUCAGGGUCUGGACCAGAUACUUAAGGACUUUGUCACCAUGGGUAAGUAACUGUCUAAGCACUAGGCAACUCUCACAUCCAAGGAGUUAUUUAUACCAAUGAAAAAACAUAGCUUUAUAUAAUACCCCCAAAUUAAUACAUAGGACAGAAAUAAUAUAUAGUCCUAGAAAAAGAAACUUUGAAUAACUAUGCAAAUAUUAUGAUCAUGGUUUAUAUGACUAAUAGUCUAAAAUCAUAUGAAAAUUUGUCAUUAAUUAUAAUCACAAGAUGGCCAAAAAAAAGUGAUUUGCUAUCCAUGUAGUAAUUCCUUAACUAAUUACGCCUAGCCAAAAAGUGAAUCUUUUUUAACCCUUUUCAGUACUAUCAGCCCUAUCAUCCGAUUUCUCUGUUUCAACAUAUCAGCACACUACCCAACUGUUUUGAAAUUAAGUUGAUCAAUCUACCAGAAUUUUAUGGCACAUGACCUUAGCUAGCCCUCAAUGAUUAUUCCAUUCUAUUUUUAUUUGCUGUUCACUAUUUAAGUCAGGUC
rnacentral:lncRNA from 1 species